CUUGGUGUUACUGCGAAGGGGGGACGGAGAAGGCUAUGUUGGCCGGGCGACGGUUGUCCCGGUUUAAGCGUGUAGGCUGGUUUUCCAGGCAAAUCCGGAAAAUCAAGGCUGAGGCGUGAUGACGAGGCACUACGGUGCUGAAGCAACAAAUGCCCCGCUUCCAGGAAAAGCCUCUAAGCAUCAGGUAACAUCAAAUCGUACCCCAAACCGACACAGGUGGUCAGGUAGAGAAUACCAAGGCGCUUGAGAGAACUCGGGUGAAGGAACUAGGCAAAAUGGUGCCGUAACUUCGGGAGAAGGCACGCUGAUAUGUAGGUGAGGUCCCUCGCGGAUGGAGCUGAAAUCAGUCGAAGAUACCAGCUGGCUGCAACUGUUUAUUAAAAACACAGCACUGUGCAAACACGAAAGUGGACGUAUACGGUGUGACGCCUGCCCGGUGCCGGAAGGUUAAUUGAUGGGGUUAGCGCAAGCGAAGCUCUUGAUCGAAGCCCCGGUAAACGGCGGCCGUAACGAUAACGGUCCUAAGGUAGCGAAAUUCCUUGUCGGGUAAGUUCCGACCUGCACGAAUGGCGUAAUGAUGGCCAGGCUGUCUCCACCCGAGACUCAGUGAAAUUGAACUCGCUGUGAAGAUGCAGUGUACCCGCGGCAAGACGGAAAGACCCCGUGAACCUUUACUAUAGCUUGACACUGAACAUUGAGCCUUGAUGUGUAGGAUAGGUGGGAGGCUUUGAAGUGUGGACGCCAGUCUGCAUGGAGCCGACCUUGAAAUACCACCCUUUAAUGUUUGAUGUUCUAACGUUGACCCGUAAUCCGGGUUGCGGACAGUGUCUGGUGGGUAGUUUGACUGGGGCGGUCUCCUCCUAAAGAGUAACGGAGGAGCACGAAGGUUGGCUAAUCCUGGUCGGACAUCAGGAGGUUAGUGCAAUGGCAUAAGCCAGCUUGACUGCGAGCGUGACGGCGCGAGCAGGUGCGAAAGCAGGUCAUAGUGAUCCGGUGGUUCUGAAUGGAAGGGCCAUCGCUCAACGGAUAAAAGGUACUCCGGGGAUAACAGGCUGAUACCGCCCAAGAGCUCAUAUCGACGGCGGUGUUUGGCACCUCGAUGUCGGCUCAUCACAUCCUGGGGCUGAAGUAGGUCCCAAGGGUAUGGCUGUUCGCCAUUUAAAGUGGUACGCGAGCUGGGUUUAGAACGUCGUGAGACAGUUCGGUCCCUAUCUGCCGUGGGCGCUGGAGAACUGAGGGGGGCUGCUCCUAGUACGAGAGGACCGGAGUGGACGCAUCACUGGUGUUCGGGUUGUCAUGCCAAUGGCACUGCCCGGUAGCUAAAUGCGGAAGAGAUAAGUGCUGAAAGCAUCUAAGCACGAAACUUGCCCCGAGAUGAGUUCUCCCUGACCCUUUAAGGGUCCUGAAGGAACGUUGAAGACGACGACGUUGAUAGGCCGGGUGUGUAAGCGCAGCGAUGCGUUGAGCUAACCGGUACUAAUGAACCGUGAGGCUUAACCCU
rnacentral:rRNA from 1 species